rnacentral:rRNA from 1 species
ACGAACGCUGGCGGCGUGCCUAACACAUGCAAGUCGAGCGGAGAUUGCAGUAAUGUAAUCUUAGCGGCGGACGGGUGAGUAACGCGUGGGCAACCUGCCUCACACUGGGGGAUAACACAGGGAAACUUGUGCUAAUACCGCAUAACAUCAUGAAAGGACAUCCUUUUAUGAUCAAAGGAGCAAUCCGGUGAGAGAUGGGCCCGCGUCCAAUUAGCUAGUUGGUGAUGUAACGGACCACCAAGGCGACGAUUGGUAGCCGAACUGAGAGGUUGAUCGGCCACAUUGGGACUGAGAUACGGCCCAGACUCCUACGGGAGGCAGCAGUGGGGAAUAUUGCGCAAUGGGGGAAACCCUGACGCAGCAACGCCGCGUGAAGGAUGAAGGUUUUCGGAUCGUAAACUUCUUUGAUGGGGGACGAAACAAAUGACGGUACCCCAAAAACAAGCCACGGCUAACUACGU